rnacentral:other from 1 species
CAAAGCCUGGAAUGUACGAUUCAGUCCUGCUAUUUUGAACCUACAUUACUUUAAACGGGAUUCCUAUAUUGUAAGACGGAUGUCGGGCCUCCUUUGAGUGGAUGGCUGAAAUCUUAUUGCGGUUGCCCACCUAGCUAUAGCUAGGAGUCAAAGUGCAGGAUUCGGCAUUUCGGGUGUAUC